rnacentral:rRNA from 1 species
AUGAGUGUCCUAUCGUGGAACUAUCGAGGGCUUGGGAACCCUUGGACAGUUCGAGAGCUUCGCAAAGUGGCGAAGCAAGAAGGCACCGCCCUUCUGUUUGUCAUGGAAACAAAAAUUAAGGGCAAGCGUGUGGAGGACCUAAAAGUUAGUUUAGGUUUUUCUGGUUGUUUUGUCGUCAAUAGUGACGGGCUUAGUGGAGGUAUUGGCCUUUUUUGGUCAAGAGAUAUCAAUGUUUCGGUGCAAAACUACAAUCGAUAUCAUAUCACUGUAAAAGUCAAUAAAGAUAAUAAAAGUUGGCGUUUCAUGGGUUUUUACGGAGAACCUCGGGUGGAAAAUAGACACCACAGUUGGUGGUUCUUGUGUACUUUAUUUGCUGUUCACCACGAAGCAUGGACCUGUAUCGAUGAUUUCAAUGAAACACUUCAUGGACGAGCACUUUGGAGCCAAUGCUAG